AGCAGCCGCGGUAAUUCCAGCUCCAAUAGCGUAUAUUAAAGUUGUUGCAGUUAAAAAGCUCGUAGUUGAAUUUCGGGAUCAGUUGGUCGGUCGUGCCUCGGUACGUACUGGUCAAAUUGAUUCCUACCUUCUGACGAACCACGAUGUCAUUAAUUUGGUGUCGCGGGAAAUCAGGACUGUUACUUUGAAAAAUUAGAGUGUUUAAAGCAGGCUCGCGCUUGAAUACAUUAGCAUGGAAUAAUGAAAUAGGACGUUUGAUUCUAUUUUGUUGGUUUCUAGGAUCGACGUAAUGAUUAAUAGGGAUAGUUGGGGGCAUUAGUAUUCAAUUGUCAGAGGUGAAAUUCUUGGAUUUAUUGAAGACUAACUACUGCGAAAGCAUUUGCCAAGGAUGUUUUCAUUAAUCAAGAACGAAAGUUAGGGGAUCGAAGACGAUCAGAUACCGUCGUAGUCUUAACCAUAAACUAUGCCGACUAGGGAUCGGAUGAUGUUAAUUUUUUAAUGACUCAUUCGGCGCCUUAAC
rnacentral:misc_RNA from 1 species